AAAGGAAUAGACGGGGGCCCGCACAAGCGGCGGAGCAUGCGGAUUAAUUCGAUGCAACGCGAAGAACCUUACCAAGGCUUGACAUACACCGGAAUGUGCCAGAGAUGGUUCAGCCCUUUUGGGCUGGUGUACAGGUGGUGCAUGGUUGUCGUCAGCUCGUGUCGUGAGAUGUUGGGUUAAGUCCCGCAACGAGCGCAACCCUCGUUCUAUGUUGCCAGCACGUGAUGGUGGGAACUCAUAGGAGACUGCCGGGGUCAACUCGGAGGAAGGUGGGGAUGACGUCAAAUCAUCAUGCCCUUUAUGUCUUGGGCUUCACGCAUGCUACAAUGGUCGGUACAAAGGGUGGCGAGACCGUGAGGUGGAGCGAAUCCCAGAAAGCCGAUCUCAGUUCGGAUCGUAGUCUGCAACUCGACUACGUGAAGUCGGAGUCGCUAGUAAUCGCAGAUCAGCAACGCUGCGGUGAAUACGUUCCCGGGCCUUGUACACACCGCCCGU
rnacentral:rRNA from 1 species